ensembl:misc_RNA 7SK 7SK RNA
GGACACGAGGGUGAUCUGGCUGCCGUCGGUCGUCACCUGAUGGAUCGUUGGAGUAGACUGGGCUGAUCUGGCUGGCUAGGUGGGUGUCCCUGGCCGCCCCCCCCCCCCACCAUGUGCAUCCCUCCCUGAGCUGCGCUCCGUCAGAGAGGAUGGCCAUCCCCGAUAGAGGAGGACCGGUCUUCGGUCAGGGGUGUAGGAGUUGCUGUGUUCCCCUGCUAGGACCUGUAAACAAGCUCUCGAGAAGCUGCUGUGUGUACACAAGUCACACGAACGUGAGGCAGAUGCCCCUGACU